CAGAACGAACGCUGGCGGCAGGUCUUAGGCAUGCAAGUCGAACGGAUGACAAGGGAGCUUGCUCCUGAAGUCAGUGGCGCACGAGUGAGUAACGCGUGGGAAACUGCCCUUCACUGGGGAAUAACGUUUGGAAACGAACGCUAAUACCGCAUACGCCCGCAAGGGGAAAGAUUUAUCGGUGAUGGAUGUGCCCGCGUUGGAUUAGCUAGUUGGUGGGGUAAUGGCCUACCAAGGCGAUGAUCCAUAGCUGGUCUGAGAGGACGAUCAGCCACGCUGGAACUGAGACACGGUCCAGACUCCUACGGGAGGCAGCAGCUAAGAAUAUUGGGCAAUGGAGGAAACUCUGACCCAGCCAAUGCCGCGUGAAUGAAGAAGGCCUUCGGGUUGUAAAGUUCUUUUAGUCAUGAAGAUGAUGACAGUAGUGACAGAAAAAGCACCGGCUAACUUCGUGCCAGCAGCAGC
rnacentral:rRNA from 1 species